GCCUGGGCAACAGAGCGAGACUGCGUAUCAAAAAAAAAAAAAAAAAAAGAAUUUGGGUCAUCUCAAUUAAACAUAGAAUUUAAGAUUACAUUGAAAAUUCAGUACAGAGUAUUUUGCCUUCAUCUGUUGUUUGAGUCUCCCUUCUUUCAGCCAUCCUUCCAUCAGAAAUAGAAUACCAAGUUAAACUUCUUAAUUAGAAUCAGGAAUCAGGACUCUUUGGCUGCUGAUUGAAGGAAGAACUGUCCUUAAAUCCAGAGUGGGCCGGGCAUGGUGGCUCAUGCCUGUAAUCCUAGCACUUUGGGAGGCCAAGGCAGAUGCAUCACCUGAGGUCAGGAGUUCAAGAGCAGCAUGACCAACAUGGUGAAACCCCAUCUCUACUGAAAAUACAAAAAUUAGCCGGGCGUGGUGGUGUGUGCCUGUAGUCCCAGAUACUUCGGAGGCUGAGAUAGGAGAAUUGCUUGAACCUGGGAGGUGGAGGUUAUGUGAGCCAAGAUCACGCCACUGCACUCUAGCCUGGGCGACAGGGCGAGACUCCAUCUCAAAAAAAAAAAAAAAAAAAAAUCCAGAGUGGUUGGUAGUCAAGACAAAAAGCUAGAUUAUUUUUGUUAGUCUGGGAACUAAAAAAAAUAGUUGUAACUUUGAAGCCUUUUUAUGGAUCAACAUGAAGUUUGAGGGAUCUCAAACAGAAAGGGCAUCCUGGUGGCAAAGGUUAAUCAUUACCAGACUGCAAGAGUAGUUUCAAUGGCAAGAAAGCAGCAACAGAAUCAAUGAAAACAAAGCAAUGAUUAGAAUGCCCUUUCCCCUUCUCCUCCUGACUUGUAGACACUGAUUGUCUUCCUUGGACUUAGGGAACCCCUUAGGUUCUUGAAAAAUUCAAUGAUGAGGCUAUAGUAGAUGGUCCCCAGGACACAGCACAAGAUUUUUUGAUAAACUGGACAUUUUGAAACCCAAAUAACUAAUUAGAAAAAUCAAACAUGUGAAACUACUUUAUCCCAUGCAUAGGGGUUAUACUGGAAAUAAAAUGUACAACAUUGGAAUCCUGAAGGAGAAAAGUCCUAAAAGUUUCAAUAUCAAGAAUCCUGCACCUGCUGCUACUUAUCUAGCCUUUUGCUUGAUUUCUGGCUGAUGAACUUGCACAACUCUUGAAAACUUAAAAACUUGAAAAUUUGUCACUUGAAAACUACUUGAACCAAACUAUGAAAUCUCACCUGAUAUAUAAGAUGCAAUUGUUACAAUUAUUUUAAACUUCAAUUUACUGUUUUGCUCUAUCAAAAGAAAGUUUCAACUCUGUUAGUUGAGUACACACAUCCUAAACAAGUUUCUGAGAAUGCUUCUGUCUAGUUUUUAUGGGAAGAUAUUUCCUUUUUCACCUUAGGCCUCAAUGCGCUCCAAAUGUGCACUUCCAGAUACUACAAAAAGAGUGUUUCAAACCUGCUCUAUGAAAGGGAAUGUUCAACUCUGUGACUUGAAUGCAAACAUCACAGAGAUGUUUCUGAGAAUGCUUCUGUCUAGAUUUUAUAUGAAGAUAUUCCCGUUUCCAACGAAAUCCUCAAAGCUAUCCAAAUAUCCACUUGCAGAUUCUACAAAAAGAGUGUUUCAAAACUGCUCUAUCAAAAGAAAGGUUCAAC
rnacentral:lncRNA from 1 species